rnacentral:rRNA from 1 species
AUAUUGGACAAUGGGCGAAAGCCUGAUCCAGCCAUGCCGCGUGUGUGAAGAAGGUCCUUGGAUUGUAAAGCACUUUAAGUUGGGAGAAAGGGCUAUAGAUGAAUACUCUGCAAUUUUGACGUUUCCAACAGAAUAAGCACCGGCUAACCUCGUUCCAGCAGCCGCGGUAAUACAGAGGGUGCAAGCGUUAAUCGGAAUUACUGGGCGUAAAGCGCGCGUAGGUGGUUCAGUAAGAUGGGUGUGAACUCCCCGGGCUUAACCUGGGAACUGCUUUCAUAACUGCUGAGCUAGAGUACGGUAGAGGGUAGUGGAAUUUCCUGUGUAGCGGUGAAAUGCGUAGAUAUAGGAAGGAACAUCAGUGGCGAAGGCGACCACCUGGGCUAAUACUGACACUGAGGUGCGAAAGCGUGGGGAGCAAAC